rnacentral:rRNA from 1 species
GAUGAACGCUGGCGGCGUGCUUAACACAUGCAAGUCGAACGGGAAACCUUUUAUUGAAGCUUCGGCAGAUUUAGCUGGUUUCUAGUGGCGGACGGGUGAGUAACGCGUGGGUAACCUGCCUUAUACAGGGGGAUAACAGUCAGAAAUGGCUGCUAAUACCGCAUAAGCGCACAGAGCUGCAUGGCUCAGUGUGAAAAACUCCGGUGGUAUAAGAUGGACCCGCGUUGGAUUAGCUGGUUGGUGGGGUAACGGCCCACCAAGGCGACGAUCCAUAGCCGGCCUGAGAGGGUGAACGGCCACAUUGGGACUGAGACACGGCCCAGACUCCUACGGGAGGCAGCAGUGGGGAAUAUUGCACAAUGGGGGAAACCCUAAUGCAGCGACGCCGCGUGAAGGAAGAAGUAUCUCGGUAUGUAAACUUCUAUCAGCAGGGAAGAUAAUGACGGUACCUGACUAAGAAGCCCCGGCUAACUACGUG